rnacentral:lncRNA from 1 species
AUGCUGUACAGAAAGGGACAGGAUUUGGUACUAGGGCUGUGGACAUUUUGUGUUACAUUUCACAUAAGACACACAGUUGUUAAAGUCAUCUGCUGCUCAUCUUCUCUACUGCCACAGCUACCUGGUGGGCACAAGGCAGGCUUGAAUGAUUCAGAACAGCUGCCAUUUGGAGAGCGCACUCAGAACUGCUUGGAAAUAGCACUGGGAGGAGAGAGUUCUGUGCAGCAGCGAGACAUUCGGGAUGUCCAGGUGGGUGUGUUUUGGAGUGCUGUCUGCCUGUGCAGCCACCUGAAGGUCAAGCAAUGAUUCAGAAAGGUACUAUGAAAUAGUAUUUUAUUCCAAAUUCAGCAUUGCCACCUAAAACCAAAAAUAUUAAUAGUGGUGGGAAAAAAGUCUAAAU